CAGUCGCCACGGUAAAACGGAGGGUGCAAGCGUUAAUCGGAAUUACUGGGCGUAAAGCGCACGCAGGCGGUCUGUCAAGUCAGAUGUGAAAUCCCCGGGCUUAACCUGGGAACUGCAUUUGAAACUGGCAGGCUAGAGUCUUGUAGAGGGGGGUAGAAUUCCAGGUGUAGCGGUGAAAUGCGUAGAGAUCUGGAGGAAUACCGGUGGCGAAGGCGGCCCCCUGGACAAAGACUGACGCUCAGGUGCGAAAGCGUGGGGAGCAAACAGGAUUAGAUACCCGGGUAGUCCCUGUCUCUUAUAC
rnacentral:rRNA from 1 species